GAUUCAACCCGAGUCCAUCAGCUGAACAACACCCGCUGAUUCAGAAUAUUUGAGCUGUGGUAUCAAAAUGGAUGCUGACAAUGAAGCCAAAGGUAAGGUGAGCGGCCAGGCGAUGCAGAACCCACAAGCGUUGGCAGCAGUUCAGGACAAAAUAGACAGUGUCUCACAUAAUGCUUCCAUCAUGGACAGCUUACCAAAGUCUGUGAAAAGAAGAGUCAAUGCCUUAAAGAAUCUUCAUGUUAACAACACGCACAUCGAAGCCAAGUUAUACAAGGAGGUGCAUGAGCUGGAGAGAAAGUAUAACGCGCUUUAUCAGCCGUUAUUU